CUCUACUUCUUCUGUCCCUCUCAACCCGUCCAGCCAGCAGCAGAUGGGUUCCCCCACAUUAGAGCCGGGUUCUGCUCGAGGUUUUUUUCCCUGUUAAAAGGGUGUUUUCCUGCCACUGUCGCCUUUUGGCUUGCUCUGGAGGUUCAGGCAUAUGGGUUCUGUAAAGUGUCUCGAGACAAUUUGACUGUAAUUGGCGCUAUAGAAAUAAAAUUGAAUUGAAUUGAAUUGAAUUGAAAAGUUAAAGCCUCUAAUUCAGGGGUGUCCAACUCAUUUUAGUUCAGGUUCCACAUUCAGCCCAGUUUGGUCUCCAGUGGACCGGACCAGUUUUACUAUAUGAUCAAAAUGACAAAAGUCAGAUAAAAAAGACAAAAAAACAACAAAAACAAGACUAAAUAUUAUGAAAAUGAGACACAAAACGUCAAAAAAUUAAACAAAUGACAAGAAAUAAAACAAAAAAGAGACAAAAAAUUAGACAAACAAGUUACAAAGCAGCAGAAAAAUGGAUAAACGACAAAAACGAGACAGAAAACCACAAAACUGCACGCAAAACAAUGAAUAAAGCAAAACACAAAAUGAUGAAAAUAAGACAAAAACACAAUCGAGACAAAAAGUAAACACAAAACGACAAAAACAUGAGAUGAACCACAAGUCAUAUAAAAACAAGAACAAGACAAAAUAUUACAAAAAUGAGACACAAAAUGACAAGAAUUUGACAAAUGACACAAAACAAAACAAAAAAGAGACAAAAAGUUUGACAAAAAAGUUACAAAGCAACAAAAAAUGGACAAACGACAAAAACGAGACAAAAAAACUGAAAAUGACAAAAUUGGCACACAAAACAACGAAUAAAGCAAAACACAAAAUUACAAAAAUAAGACAAAAACCACAAGCAAGAUGGAAAGGAAACAAAAAACGACCAAAACAAGAAACAAAAUGACAAAAACAUGAGAUGAAUGUCAGACAAAAAAAGUCAAAAAUCAGACAAAAAACAACAAAAAUGAGAGAAAAUAUUACAAAAAUGAGACACAAAAUGACAAAAGAACAAUGAACAAUCUAGAAUUUUACUUUCUGAUCAAAACAACUUGUCAUGGUCUAGAAAUCAUUUUAAAUUUAUAGUUUUACUAAUUUACAAUCUGCAGUUAAUGUCUUCUCUGGAAUUUUUACACUUUGAGGGCCGGAUUGGAACCUCUGGAGGGCUGCUUUUGGCCCGUGGGCCGCAUGUUGGACACCCCUGCUGUAGAGGGAAGCUCCAGCUGACGUUCUGCCUCCCAGCUACCAUCCAUCUGAUCCUCACAGCCUCCUCAUCCUCGUGGAGGCUCCACUUUCACUCCCCAACAUCAUGAAGGUUCUGCUGCAGUCUCACCUGUUCCUGGGUUAACCAACUCCACUUCCACUUCUGGUUGAACAAAACCUCUCCAGUACCUGAGCUGGCCAACACCUUCCUGAUUCUGGUCUUUUUCCAUGCCUCCUCUAUGUCUGAACCUUUUUCUGAGUCUGAACUGACUUGUUCUUCUCCCAUUCUGGUCCCAAGUCUGGCUUGGUAAGUUCCUCUCCUUUACCUGUAUCUGCCCCCGAGUCAUCCAGCACCAAGUCCAUGCUCCUGCACUGGUCGACUGAUGUCAAGCCAAGACCCUGCCAGUCGAUCAACACCAAGACGUGUCCUAGGUCUGAGUGGCCUGGAAAAGGCCAGAAAUGGGUUAACAACUUAAAGCUAUUCUGCAGCAAUGGAGGUUGAUGAAGCCUUGAAAGUUGGAGCUACCAAAUCCUUCAGGAGUCCCAACUUUUCUAGAUUCCUUCCAACUUCCUCUGUCUGCAUAAAGUAGUGCUGGAACCCACCGUGGAACCUUCCAGAGUAUUACUAGAACCGGAAGUACUGCAGAAAGUAAUGUGUUGAUGUAAAAAUGGAGAGGAAAAGGCAAUUAGCAAUAGAAGAGAGACAGACCAUCAGAACACUUCAACAUGAAGGUCUUUAUACAGAGAGGAAGAAAGUCCAGGUGUCAGUGAGUCCAGUUUUCUUCACCAUCAAAAGGCUCAAAAACUGGAGGAAACUCUGACAGGAAGAGAUUUGGAAGAACCAAAGCCACAACAGAACCAGAAGACCAGGUCCUGAGAGUCACCAGCUUGGUGAUAGGAGCUCACAGGACAACAGCUUCAAGCAGCUUCAUAGAGGUCGUAGGAAGACGUCUCAGUUUAACUGUGGAGAAAAGACUUGGAGCUGCAGGUUUGACAGGUGGAGUUGCAGCAGAAAGCCGUUGUUCAGACGUCAGAAUCAGAAAAAGAGGCUUCCUGGACCAUGAAACACCACCAAUGGACUACCGACGACUGGAAGAAGGUCUUAUGGGCUGAUGAAAGGACGGUUCCUCAGUGUGGGACGUCAACCGUCCAACAUGGAGGAGGAAGCGUGAUGGUCUGGGGCUGUUCAGCUGGACUCAGGGUCGAUGACAGAUGCGUGACAUUGACUGUCAAACAUGGAGGAGGAAGCGUGAUGAUCUGGGGCUGUUCUGCUGGAUCCAGGGUUGGUUCUUGUACAGAGUGAGAGGAACCCUGAACCUAAAUGGCUACCACAGCAUUCUGCAGCACCAUGCAGAACCCUCUGGUAUGUUCCAAGUAGGUCAGGGGCUCCUCUUACAGCAGAUAAUGAGCCAGAACAUCAGUCCAAGCUCUGCCAGAACCACCUUAGGAACAAAGAACCAGAUGGUUGAAAACAUGGAGUGGCAGCACAGUCUCCAGACUUAAACCUCAUGGAGAUGGUUUGGAUGAACUGGACAGAAGAGCGAAAGCAAAGAACCUACAAGAACCACACAUUUAUGAAAACUUCUGCUACAGAGUUAGAAGAACUUUCUGAAGAAUAUUUGGCUUCCAUUGAGGAAAGAAUGCCAUGAGUGUGUUCUAUGCUUUCAUUUCAGAGAACAAUGAGACAUCAUUUGCAGAAUUUCCAAUCAAAACCUGGAAAAAAUUGGGCUGGUCUAAAACUUUUGACUUUUCAUGUGCUUCGAUGAUGUUAAUGGAAUCAGAAGUUAUGUAAUUCAAAAAUGGAAAACCACUGAGUGACUGUAUAUGCAGUGCGGUGGAAGGAGGUGAAGGUCUGUUUAGUGAAAUGCUCAUAUGCUGAUGUUUUUCAUUUUUUCUCCUCCUCUGUUAAUCUCUACUCUCAGUGUCACAUCCAUUGUCCUCUAAGCCCCUUCUGCUGCUCUAUUACUAUUCUAGUACUGUCCCAUGACCAGCCUCUCUUUCUCUCUCUAUCCGCUGCAGAAGGAUGAUUAGUGGAAGAUAUAUACACUAACGAGCCACAACAGUAAAGCCACCAGCUUAAUAUUAUGUAGGACCCUCGUGAUGCCAGAAUAGCUCUGAUCCAUUGAGGUCUGCAGUCAUCAGACCUUUAAAGGUGUGCUGGUUUAUGUACCUGGCACCGAGACGUUCGUUGGAGAUCAUUAGAUUCUCAUCCAGGCCAAAGUCUGGGGAAUUUGAAAGUCAACCAAAAUUUUGAAAUCUGUUUUUUAUGUUCCUCAAACCAUCCCUUAGCAAUGUUUACAACAUGGCAGGUCACACUGUCAUUGGGGAAUACUGUUUCCAGGAAGUGUGUACAUGGUCAGUACUAAUGUUAGGUAGGUGUAUGAUGGCCAGGACCCAAGGAUUUCCAGCCUGGGACCAGUUUUGGUUCAUACUAGCUAUAAACAGCAGGAGCCCAUCACAGUUUUCUUGCCGUCACAAUUAGACUCCAUGCUUUCCUGCUUUCACCAGCUUCAAGAACGGACUGUUCACUUGCUUUAGUUCCAUCUCUUGGCAGUUGCGAUUGUAAUAAAGAUAGUCAGUGUU